rnacentral:rRNA from 1 species
UACGUAGGGGGCAAGCGUUGUCCGGAAUUAUUGGGCGUAAAGAGCGUGUAGGCGGCCAGAUAAGUCCGCUGUGAAAUCUCGAGGCUCAACUUCGAGCUGUCGGUGGAAACUAUCUGGCUAGAGUCCGGAAGAGGAGAAUGGAAUUCCUGGUGUAGCGGUGAAAUGCGCAGAUAUCAGGAAGAACACCCGUGGCGAAGGCGGUUCUCUGGGACGGUACUGACGCUGAGACGCGAAAGCGUGGGGAGCAAGCAGG